GUCUACAUGUAGAAUAUGCGAACUGUUAUAUCAUGUAUUUCUCACGCUGCUGUGUGACCAUAUUUAAACUGACAUUAUGAUGUCUGCAACCAUGUCAUUCAAUCAAAUAGCUGCCAUUAUACAAAACUAUCACUGUAACAAAUGGUAGUCUUCCGAUUUACGAAGAAGGGACUGAAGUAGACGACGGAAUUAGCGCCGUUGGAAAUGAAGAUUACAUCACCGAUAGAAGACUAGUAAAACGAAGGAGGCUGCAGACUCACGUCGACGAGGCAAUAGCAAUUAUGAGAAGCAUUAAUAACUCUCAAUAGCGGAAAAACGAAUAUUACUUAUUUGGGAAACAAGACACGGCAUGCUACGCGGCGAGUAAUGGACGGUUAGGUUGGCGCACAGAAAUUACAAGCGUGUCGUUUCGGAGUUGUUGCACGCGUGUACGGUUCGCUUUUCCAUCCGUGUCACAACAUGGUAAUUUUCGUGUCACGACAUCUCACCGUAAGCGAACCGAAGGAAACUGGAGAACAAAAGCCGUUUGAAAGAAGAAACGACGUAAUUACUUGCACUUUUCCGCAUGGAAACUUUUUGCGGCGUAUGGUGACGGAACAAUCUCUGCGCUGACAUUUUGUACGGAGUGUUUGCAAAUCAGAGGAAAAGUUUUAAUGUAUAUAAAUGGAAAAAUUAAUAUUUUUUAUAUUACAAAUAAUCUUUUAUUCGAGUUGUAACGACUAAUUUUGUUACUUCAAGAGAUAUCUCGUCGGGUGCAAACAAUGAUAAUAAUUAUGAUUAUAAUUGAUUGAUUUCAUUAAAUCAUUUUUUCUUAAUUUACAUUUUAUUAUUUCUUUUUUUCUUAGUUAUAAUGAUAUUAUA